AUAGGCCGCCUGCAAUGCAAAGUCUGUUCAUGUAUUGUGAUAAUUGAUUUGUCAUGUAAUAAUUGAAAUUUCUAACACACCAGUCAGAAACAUAACCUCAAUUCAGUGAUAUAUGAAUAAAGAGAAAGAAAAUUACAGUGCUGAUAACCCCUACGAAAAUGGAUUUCAAACUAGGGAAAUUUUCUCCAAUAGAGAAGAUAAAUACAAAGUUAGAUAAUAUAUUAGAAAUUAUUAAUCCUUUGUCACCAAAAAAAAACAAGCAAGGCUUGAAAACAUGCGAGAAGAAAAAUGAGAACACAUAUCGAUAAAUAAGAACACAUAUUAAGAUUAAGUGUUGAAAAGAAAAUGAAUUGUGGAGUAUUUCUUAAGUGAUGAUAUUGUAUUACAGAAUAGGAAAUUCACAUAUUUAAUACGAAACCAGCAAAGUAUAUAGGUCAUGUGCAAUGCAAAUUCUGUUUAUGUAUUGUGAUAAUUGAUUUAUCACAUAAUUAUUGAAAUUUCUGACAGACCAGUCAAAAAUCACAUAACCUCAAUUCAGUGAUAUGAUAUGAAUAUUAUAGAGAAAGAGUGCUCAUAACCCCUAUGGGUUAUGUCAAAAUGGAAUUCAAACUAGGGAAAUUUGCUCUAAUCAAGAAGAUAAAUUGUCACCAAAGAAACAAGCAAGACUUAAAAACAUUCAAGAAGGAAAACAAAGAAUGCACCGGAUAUCACACAUUAUAUGGAUUAAGUGUUGAAGAGAACAUGAAUUGUAAUUCAGAUCUUGAAAAUUAAUAGGAUAAAAUCAAUGCAAGAAAAUUGAGUGUGUGUUCAUGGAAUAAUUAUCUCUGUCAUAUGAUCGUAGGAACUACAUAGUCAUUAACUUCAAAUAAUGAGUAUGUUUAGAGAUACAUUAACAGAUGCAAGUGAGUUGAACAUAUUUAACGCAAGACUUAACUUUGCCAAGUCUGAUUUAACUGAAGUUGCCAAGAGAG